UUCACAAGUCAUUGGAGAAAUUCUUAUCCUUGAUUCCAUUUCUCAUAUCCACUGAGGAGAUCAAACUUGUUGAAGUUGAUUGGGGUAGAGAAUUGGUUGAUGACUUUGUUCCUUCGAAACUCAGAGUUUUGACUGGAUUUCUUCUCAGAGAAAUCAAAGAUUUUUGGCAAGUUGCCUUAUUGGCUCUUCCUUGUUACAUCCCACUGACGCUGACCAUACUGAUGAUAUUCUAAACAAGAACUUUCAACUGGACAAAAGAAGAGAUCUAUUUGAGGUGGUUUAGAAUUCGAUUACGAAACUAGGUCUUGAGAAAGUGUGGGAUGUGAAACCUUCGGUUAAUGGGAAAGAUAUUAUGAAUGUUUUGCAGCUUAAAUCCAGAGGGCCACUUGUUAGGGAGUGGCAACAAAAACUGCUUGCAUGGCAGCUUGCCCACCCCUCUGGGACUGGGGAGGGCUGCCUUGACUGGAUGAAGCAAACCCACUCAAAGUGUGAAGCUGGAGCCCAGCAAUUCAGUUGAUUAAUCUAAAGCUAUAGUUAGCAAUAGUUAUUUUUGAUGAUACAUUUACUUUUUGAGAUAUUGAGGCUGGAUAACAUUUUGAAGCCCAUGAACAUCCAUGUGUUCUAGAUGCCAAAGUUUAUUAAAUUUGCAGCGUCGGUUGGAGUCAUUUUACGGCAAGGAGGUUUUAUCUUCCAGUGGGAGAAAGGAGGACUGGGAAAGAGAAAGAUUCAGGUUAAUGUUUUGAAUUAACCCUAAAUUAUAUUAGAGAUUGGCAGUUUAGAAUAUACAUUGAUUUUGUAGUGUCUAGUUUUACAAGCCACCUCAAUACAGCUUUGUGUCCGUAAAAGAUUAUAGCUUUUAUCGAUGAUGAAGUUAGGAUAGGAGAUGAGAUUUCACCAUCACUAUUGAAGGCAAAUGAAGGAUCAAAGAUUUCAAUAAUUUUCUCUAAAGGUUAUGCUUCUCCUACGUGGUGCCUCCUCAUAUGCAAGAGAAUGUAGGGUCAGAUUGUGAUACUAGUUUUCUAUCAUAUAGAUCCUUCAGAUGUAAGAAAGCAAACCGGGACUUUUGGGGAUGCAUUUGCUAAGCAUGAAGUACAAUAUAGGCCGAGUCAAGAGUUGCAGAUAUGGAUGAAUGCUUUUUGACAGAUCAAUAGCAUUGACGAUUCUUAUCUGUCAAAGCAAACCUUUACAUUCUAACUUGAUGCUUGUUACAAAUUCGGAGGCUUGGUUUUUCUCCUUCUUUUGUACUUCAUAUAAAAUAACCUUGUAAUGGAAGAUUUUUUUU